rnacentral:rRNA from 1 species
AUGGAUCGAGGUUGGACGAGUAAACCAAGAUCAACUACUGAUUACAAAGGAGGUGUCGAGCAAUUUCUAUCUUUUGCCUUCCAUGAUGUUCCAAUCGGUGAUAAAAUUCUCUGUCCCUGUGUAAAUUGUGGAAAUAAGGCAACGCAGAAUUACGACGAAGUGAAAACCCACCUAAGAUGUGAUGGUAUUCUUCAGGGUUAUACAAAAUGGGUUUGCCAUGGAGAAGAGUAUGAUUCACCGUCAUUUGCAUUUGCUCCCAUGUCAAACAACAACAACAAUUUUCAUAUUUCGAGUUUUCUAGUGAAUUCUGAUGUAGAAGGCAGUAAUAGAAGAUUGCAUGACAUUUCUGGGCUCUUAAGUGCCAUUUUCCCCAUGGCUGACAAUUUCCAAUCACUAUCAAGCGCAUCUGAUGGGGAACUAGAUGGUGUUCAGUCUGAAUUUGAGAACUUGGAACCUGGUAUGGCUGAGAAUGUCAAUACAACAUCUGCAGAUGAUGAUGCAAUGAGAGAACAAGACAAUACGCUAGUUUCCUCGAGGAAGCAAACACAGAUUUAUACCCUGGAUAUGCAACAUAUUCGAGGUUGUCAUUUCUUGUCACUUUAUAUCACAUGA